UUCGCAAUGCCCGAAAGGGUGACGAAGCGACGCCGCGUGUGGGAAGAAGGCCUUCGGGUUGUAAACCACUGUCGGGAGUUAAGAAAUGCAAGGAUAUUAAUAGUGUCUUUGUUUGACUAAGGCUCCGGAGGAAGCCACGGCUAACUCUGUGCCAGCAGCCGCGGUAAUACAGAGGCGGCAAGCGUUGUUCGGAAUUAUUGGGCGUAAAGAGCACGUAGGCGGCUGUGUAAGUCGGUUGUGAAAGCCUUCCGCUCAACGGAAGAACGGCAUCCGAUACUGCAUGGCUUGAGUGUGGGAGGGGAGAGUGGAACUUCUGGUGGAGCGGUGAAAUGCGUAGAUAUCAGAAGGAACACCGGCGGCGAAGGCGACUCUCUGGCCCAUAACUGACGCUGAGUGUGCGAAAGCUAGGGGAGCAAACGGGAUUAGAUACCCCGGUAGUCCUAGCCGUAAACGAUGGGCACUAAGUAGAGGGGUUUU
rnacentral:rRNA from 1 species